UCAUUCCGCCGGGAGAGAAGCGAGCACCAUGCGAGUGCUGGCCUCUAGGAUGAAACUUGGCCUGCGAAAAAGGCGCGAAGGCGAGCGUUUCGCGCGUUUAUUGUGAGUGCGGAGGCGCCAUUUUCAGUUGUCACUACGGCUGCGCAAGGUGGUCAAGACUGUUGUUUCUUUCUCCUGAGCUCCUGGCCGGGUUGGCCCCGCAGUAAAGAUUCUGAGUGACAAAAGGGUGUGAAAUAGAAGGCAUCAAGGCAUCAGUGGGCAUUUUGUCUUCACUGAGUACUUCAAUGAGUGAAGGGCAGCCAGUCCACUGCAGUCUUUCUUUCUCGCAAGUCAUGGCUGCAUGCUUCUGAACGGCCUUUUUUGUGUGUAUCGAUCUUAAUAGAUUUGCUGUUGACAUG